GGGACCUCCAUCAUAUAUGAGCAAAGAAGAUAAUUUGGAUAGAUAUAUGCCUCCAGGAAGGAAAAAUGCAGAGCUACAAUGCCAAAGCAAUUAUAGGUGUAGCGUGAGGUUGCACGUGCAAGCUGGGGCACACACAGGUUCCCUGCGGAACGAGGCUGACGGCACUACAGCGAAGUUACUGGUUUUUCUCACCAGCUUGAAAGAACCUCUCGCAGGCUGGAAUGAUGGGGCCAAUGCCAAGAAGAGAUCUAAUAGGGAAAAGCAAAUGGCAGAUUCUUCGAGGAAGAGGACCCAAAAGGUCAUUGACUGGAGCUUCUGAUUAAAUCCUUGAGUAGAUGGA